rnacentral:rRNA from 1 species
AAAGAGUUCUAUAACUCCCAAACCCAUGUGAACAUACCUAACGUUGCCUCGGCAGGUCGCACCUACCUUGUAGCACCCUACCCUGUAGGGCCUACCCGGGAGGUGCGGGUAAGCCUGCCGGCGGCCCACCAAACUCUGUUUGAUAUUGAAUUCUGAACCUAUAACUAAAUAAGUUAAAACUUUCAACAACGGAUCUCUUGGUUCUGGCAUCGAUGAAGAACGCAGCGAAAUGCGAUAAGUAAUGUGAAUUGCAGAAUUCAGUGAAUCAUCGAAUCUUUGAACGCAUAUUGCGCCCAUUAGUAUUCUAGUGGGCAGGACCGUUCGAGCGUCAUUUCAACCCUUAAGCCUUCGUUGCUUAGUGUUGGGAGCCUACGGCAACGUAGCUCCUCAAAGUUAGUGGCGGAGUUGGUUCACACUCUAGACGUAGUAAUUUUUUAUCUCGCCUAUUAGUUGGACUAAUCCCCUGCCGUAAAACCCCCAAUUUAUCAAGGUUGACCUCGAAUCGGUUCAGACAAACUCGCUAAAUUGAAGCAUCUUAGUCAGCGAAGGAAAAGAAACCAACAGGGAUUGCCCUAGUAACGGCGAGUGAAGCGGCAACAGCUCAAAUUUGAAAUCUGGCCCUCGGGUCCGAGUUGUA